rnacentral:rRNA from 1 species
UACGAAGGGGGCUAGCGUUGCUCGGAAUCACGUGGGCGUAAAGCGCACGUAGGCGGACUCUUAAGUCAGGGGUGAAAUCCUGGAGCUCAACUCCAGAACUGCCUUUGAUACUGGGAGUCUUGAGUCCGGAAGAGGUAAGUGGAACUGCGAGUGUAGAGGUGAAAUUCGUAGAUAUUCGCAAGAACACCAGUGGCGAAGGCGGCUUACUGGUCCGGUACUGACGCUGAGGUGCGAAAGCGUGGGGAGCAACAGGAUUAGAAACCCCAGUACGCUCGA